rnacentral:rRNA from 1 species
UAAUACGAAGGGUGCGAGCGUUAAUCGGAAUUACUGGGCGUAAAGCGUGCGUAGGUGGCUUGUUAAGUCGGAUGUGAAAGCCCCGGGCUCAACCUGGGAACUGCAUCCGAUACUGGCGAGCUUGGAGUUUGGAAGAGGGUGGUGGAAUUCCCGGUGUAGCGGUGAAAUGCGUAGAGAUCGGGAGGAACAUCAGUGGCGAAGGCGGCCACCUGGUCCAAAACUGACGCUGAUGCACGAAAGCGUGGGGAGCAAACAGGAUU